CGGGGCGUGGCGCAGCUUGGUCAGCGCGCCUGCUUUGGGAGCAGGAGGUCGUGAGUUCAAAUCUCACCGCCCCGACCA
rnacentral:tRNA from 1 species